rnacentral:rRNA from 1 species
UACGGAGGGUGCAAGCGUUGUUCGGAAUCACUGGGCGUAAAGGGCGUGUAGGCGGUCCGCUAAGUCUGAUGUGAAAGCCCGGGGCUCACCCCCGGAAGGGCAUUGGAAACUGGCGGACUCGAGUCUCGGAGAGGAAGGUGGAAUUCCUGGUGUAGCGGUGAAAUGCGUAGAUAUCAGGAGGAAUACCGGUGGCGAAGGCGGCCUUCUGGACGAUGACUGGCGCUGAGACGCGAAAGCGUGGGGAGCAAACAGG